ensembl:lincRNA
AGCAUCUCUUCCAGUCAAGGUGCUGGUAACAGAGUUCCUAACUUCACCGCCAGGAAGAGUUCAAGUUACUUUAGGAAAUUUACUUAGCCCGCCUUGGGUGAUUAUGACUUUUCUCAGGCACGAAGGAGGCGGAGGCAACAGAUCCUGGAUUAGCUCAGCCUUCCCUUUAUUGGAACACUCCUCAAUGUGGAAUCUACCACCAACAGUUGCUGAAGGUUUGCGUCCAAACAACACAGCAGACCUGCACAGUGAGGCUGACUUCGCUAGAUGUAGUCAGUCCAGGACAGUGAGUACCGUAUCUGUCUCCUGUAAUCCUCUUCUCCAGCCCGGAAGCAGCCAAUAUGCAUUCCAGAGGAGCCAAAGAAUACGACUGCAUAUCUUCUGCUGGAGCCAGGAGUGCCUGACUGCUCGAGCUGGGAAUGGUGAUGAAAUACUAACCUUUUCCCGGGAAAGCGGAGACACUGGGAAAAGGACAAGAGCCAGUGGAAAUACCAAAAAAAGAGAAAACCAGGAAGAAUAAAGGAGACCAACAGCAAAAACAGUGCAGAUAAAAAUUGUGGCAUACAAGGCAAGCAGCAAGUCCUCUGACAGCUGAGGAGAGAAAAGGCAAUCAACUUAGAGUGGUUCUUUUAUGUGGAAAGGGGGUCACACCGCCUCCAAGACCUCAGAAGGGUAUCAGUGAAAGCAUCCACUUAGGUAUUCAUUCAUUCGUUCAUUCAUUAUUCAGUUGUUCAUUCAUCCAACAAAGAGUGAGUUCUCACUCUGGGAAUCCUAAACUUGGUUUUCUUCCAAACUCCCACUUCUUCUAUUCUAAUGGACCAAGGCUCUUAGGUUCCUGGAUGUGCUGUAGCAAAAAGAGUGUCACUACUUUUUCUGACCUUAUAUACUAAGGAGUAUGAUGUCUGGCACAGAAAACACAGAUGAACACUAUUAUUUUUAUGAGAAGUAAGGACGAAUGCCUACCAAAGACAAGAAUGCUAUCUCUAACAUUCCCAAUCUUUGGGGACCAUAAAUCCCCAUCCCCAUCUCUAGAUAGAAAAUAAACCCUGAACAAGCAAGGCAGAAUCCCAAAAUCCACUAAGAAAACUGUGCUUUGACUCCUGAAUUUCUAGACUGGGUGGAUUUGAGAAUCAGGGUAGUUCAGUCAGUUCAAGCCAGUUAUAGAAAAAAAAAAAUACCGUUUUUGCAUACUAGAUUUGUGGUUCAAGAAACUUACAUUCCUAUGUUUGUUUGGAAAUAAAUUUUGAGGGAAAACUCAUUCCCAGAAUUUUCUAGUUAAAAUUUAUAGCAAGUUAUGGGACCUCUAUUUAACAGCAACAAAAAUGGUAUUAUAGUCCCAUAAAUAUAAUUUAGUACUUUCUUGCUUUUGAAAAAAUAACUUAUUUUAGAUUCAGAGGCUCAUAGUCAAGUCUGACAAUUAAAAUAGAUUUUUCAAAAAACCAUAUUAAAAUCCCAUAGUUUUAAAUUUAGUUUUACAAUGUUCAGAUGGCAAUGUGAAUAGAAAUGGUAACUCAAUUACUUUUCAAAUAAGUACCUUGAUGAAUAUAUUCAUUUUCUCCUGACAGGGAAUUAUUAUUGCCUUAAAUUUAAUCUUAGUUCUGCACACGCUGCAGGGAUUUUCAUGGCUAAACUGUUUUAAAUUAUCUUAUGAUUCAUCUACCUUGAAAUAUGAAUGCACUCUACCCACAAUAAGGCAGAAUAAUAUGUAGUAGAUGGUAGAUUAUCUUAAAUUUGAUUUCGUAGAAAUAUUUUAUUAAAACAUUUCUCUUACGUGGCUAAAAAUCAUGUCCCUGGAUUUACUUCGCAGGCAGAAUUGAGAGACUGGGCCGAGCUGGGAGUGUGGGCAUAGGUUCGCUCAUUGAACACAAACAGAGUUAAGCAGAUAAAGGAGGAAGACCAGAAGCUCUGCUAAAACAAAGAAGAGCCAAUCUGCCUUCAAGUCUAGAAGAUAGGGAAAGGAGGGAAAGACCAGUCUGUAUUCUCUAAGGACAGGACUGGGGCGCCUGGUUCCAGGGUAGAUAUUGUUGCUCUCUGUUCUGGUUGGAAAUAACCUGUGGACAGAAGGUAAGGGAGAACAGAAUCUAGACUGUAGCAAAAAUAGAUCAGAAGUCUACAGGUAAAACUGACUAUAUGAGUCCAAUACAAAAAGGCUACACUUGCCUUAGCCUCACACAUAUUAUGAAUAUGUAUACUAUCAAAUUCCAAAAAUUACUCCAAAAUUCAGUUCCAAUGUUGUGUAUACUUAUCUCUAGUUAAACAUGGUACAGAUGGGCAGAUACAAGAACUGGAAGGUAUAAAGGCACCUGUUAGGUAAGAAAGGCAACUGUUAUCAACUUAAUUUGGCCCAGUGGACCCAUUUUCCUCCAGCAAGGGAUUGGAUGAUCUGAGUUGUAUUCAUGCACAUUAUAAACCAGGGAACAAGCCUGGAAAGGCAAAGUUCCUUUCCCACACAGGCCAGUGUAGCUGUAAAUUUGAAAUUCACAAUGAAAUGUGGCUUUGGAAAGAUUGAUUUCCCCAUGCAGUAUUUUACAAUUUGUUUUGUGAGGGGGUUCCUUGUAGCUCAGUGAAUGAACCUAGCAUUCAAGUCUUGGUUUUGGCUCGGAUCAUGAUCUCAGGGUUGUGGGAUGAACCCCACAUGGGUUUCUGCACUCAUUGUGGAGUCUGCUGGAGAUUCUCUCUCUCUCCCUCUCCCUCCCCCUCCUUCCCUCCCCCUACUUACACACGUACUCUCUCUCAGAUAGAUAAAUCUUUGAAGAUUCUGUUUUAUGAGAAGAGUGCCCAAGGUAACAGAAGAUAGUGUUACAAGUUUGAAGUCCAAUCAGCCUCAAAGUACUUCAGCUAAGAACAGAUAGCUUUCCUGCAGCUUAGAAAGGCAGGCAAAAUCAUGCAAACUCUUAUUAUCAUUAACAAUUGCAUUUGUGCCCAAAGCGGGGGAAGCAUUUACUUAGAAAGAACAGUAAAAGGUGGGUUUUUAAAAGACAUUACUUCAUUGGAGGAAAUCUGUAUUCACUGCCAUUUUUUACCCCAUCUUGAGUUAAAUAAUCCUGCUCUCUUGCCUAAGAGCAGUCUUGAAGACACACACAAAAAUACAGACGUGCUCCCAGAGUUAAUUACCUAGUCUUCUGAAAAUUUAUUUUUCUCACCUAUAAAAUGCAAGUAAUAAUAUCAACCUCUAAAGUCUGUUGUGAGAACAAAUGAGAUGAUCAUGCAAUGUAUUUAGCAGACUGGCCAUCUAGAAGGUGGUAAAGGUCAAUAAAAGAUUGUACAUUGAUGCAAAUCAAUACUGUGCAUUUUUUCAAUAGACCCCUCGAGUAUGUAAACAGAUAUUGAUGAAGUAGUCAGCAG